GCGGGUGUAGUUUAGUGGUAAAACCUCUGUCUUCCACACAGAUGUCGUCGGUUCGAUUCCGUCCACCCGCACCA
rnacentral:tRNA from 1 species